AAGUCGUAACAAGGUAACCGUAGGUGAACCUGCGGUUGGAUCAUUAAUGAAUUAUGUUUUAACGUGUAGUUAAAGCUAAUUAGAAGUGAGACUUUGAAGGGUCGAAAGACUUGGAUAAGUUUCCUUCGCUUACCACUGUGAAUUGUUUUUAGUCCUUGGUAGUGUAAAAGCUUACCAUUGGCUACUCAAACAUUAAAGUCUUUAGAAACUAGUCUUAAAUAAAACAACUUAAUGUUGAAACAACUUUUGACAACGGAUCUCUUGGCUCUC
rnacentral:misc_RNA from 1 species